rnacentral:rRNA from 1 species
GUCUACGGCCAUGCUACCCAGAACAAGCCCGAUCCCAACUGAUCUCGGAAGCUUUGCAGGGUCGGGCCUGCUUAAUACUUGGAUGGGAGAUUACCUAGGAAGACCAGGUGCUAUAAGCG